UCCGGUUGAUCCUGCCAGAGGUUACUGCUAUCGGAGUUCGAUUAAGCCAUGCGAGUCUAAAGGUUUCUUCGGAAACCUUGGCGGACUGCUCAGUAACACGUGGAUAACCUACCCUUGGGACUGGGAUAACCCCGGGAAACUGGGGAUAAUACCGGAUAGAUCAGGGAUGCUGGAAUGCGCCUUGAUCCAAAGCUCCGGCGCCCAAGGAUGGGUCUGCGGCCUAUCAGGUAGUAGUGGGUGUAACGUACCUACUAGCCAACGACGGGUACGGGUUGUGAGAGCAAGAGCCCGGAGAUGGAUUCUGAGACACGAAUCCAGGCCCUACGGGGUGCAGCAGGCGCGAAACCUUUACAAUGUGCGAAAGCAUGAUAAGGGAACUCCGAGUGCCAGUAUCUAAUACUGGCUGUCCUUGUGCCUAAAACGCACAAGAUAGCAAGGGCCGGGUAAGACCGGUGCCAGCCGCCGCGGUAACACCGGCGGCCCGAGUGGUAGCCGCUAUUAUUGGGUCUAAAGGGUCCGUAGCCGGUUCGAUAAGUCCUCUGGGAAAUCUGGUUGCUUAACAAUCAGACUGCCAAGGGAUACUGUCGAACUUGAGACCGGGAGAGGUAAGAGGUACUUCAGGGGUAGGAGUGAAAUCUUGUAAUCCCUGGGGGACCAUCUGUGGCGAAGGCGUCUUACCAGAACGGGUCUGACGGUGAGGGACGAAAGCUGGGGGCGCAAACCGGAUUAGAUACCCGGGUAGUCCCAGCCGUAAACGAUGCUCGCUAUGUGUCAGGUACGGUGUGACCGUAUCUGGUGCCGUAGGGAAGCCGUGAAGCGAGCCACCUGGGAAGUACGGUCGCAAGACUGAAACUUAAAGGAAUUGGCGGGGGAGCAC
rnacentral:rRNA from 1 species